rnacentral:ncRNA from 1 species
ACCUUCUCCAGCGUGCUCUCCAGCGGCUUCACCAGCAGCGAGUUAUUAUUCAGCGUCACCUCGCCUUUGGCCGCCACCUGCUUGCCGUUCAAGGGGAUAUCAAGAUGUAAGCGCCCACUGACAUUGCCGCCAACCUGCAGCUGCUCCAGCGCGCCGCCGACGGAAUCAUGCAGCGGCGUCUGGGCAAAGUAGGCCUGCACCUCCGGCCCGGCGCCCGCCACGUCGGCGUCAAUCAGCAAACGCUCUUUGGUGUAGUCCGGGAUCACCGCGCGGACGUUUUUGCCGUCCACCUUGCCCAGUUUGGUCGCCGGCGCCUGCAUCCACAGGCCGUCGUUGCGGAAAUCCAGGUCGAUAGCCAGGUCCUUCAGCGCCGGCCAGCCCGGCUGGAACUGGAAGGUCGAGUGGCGCAGCGGCACG